CUGUAAUGAAACACCGAUUCCUGUACGAUCACCGAAGUUAAGCAAUAUCACAUCUGGCCAGUACUUAGAUGGAUGAUCGAUUGGGAAUACCAGUUGCUGUUU